AAUAAAAUGAGACUUCCUGUUACGUUCUCUUUACUGCUCCAGCCUGAGCGAGACAGGCACUUCUAAGCCGCCAUGCCCGUUGCCAGGAGUUGGGUUUGUCGCAAGACUUAUGUCACCCCCCGCCGUCCCUUCGAGAAGUCCCGUCUCGACCAGGAGUUGAAGCUCAUUGGCGAGUAUGGUCUGAGGAACAAGCGUGAGGUGUGGAGGGUCAAGUUCACCCUGGCCAAGAUCCGCAAAGCUGCCAGAGAGCUGCUGACUCUGGACGAGAAGGAACCCAAGCGUCUGUUUGAAGGUAAUGCUUUGCUCAGGCGUCUGGUGAGGAUCGGUGUGCUCGAUGAGGGUAAGAUGAAGCUCGAUUACAUCCUGGGCCUGAAGGUUGAAGAUUUCUUGGAGAGGAGGCUGCAGACACAGGUCUUCAAGCUUGGACUCGCCAAGAGCAUCCACCAUGCCCGUGUCCUCAUCCGCCAGAGGCACAUCCGAGGACCGCCAGCUUGUAACACUGUCCCAUGAGGUCAGAUAUACAUUUCAGUAAGGUCACUUCGGUAUCAAAACCGUAUACCUUGUCAAUAGACAUUGCCCAGAGCCAAUCCUACUGCGGGCUCAGACUGUGCCUCUGUGGUGUGGCUGUCAGUGUGCGCAAGCAGGUGGUGAACAUCCCCUCCUUCGUGGUGCGCCUGGACAGCCAGAAGCACAUCGACUUCUCCCUGAGGUCGCCAUACGGUGGCGGACGCCCAGGCCGCGUCAAGAGAAAGAACGCCAAGAAGGGCCA